UACGGGGGGUGCAAACGUUGCUCGGAAUUAUUGGGCGUAAAGAGCUCGUAGGCGGCUUGUCACGUCGGGUGUGAAAGCCCGGGGCUUAACCCCGGGUCUGCAUUCGAUACGGGCUAGCUAGAGUGUGGUAGGGGAGAUCGGAAUUCCUGGUGUAGCGGUGAAAUGCGCAGAUAUCAGGAGGAACACCAGUGGCGAAGGCGGCUCACUGGACCGGUACUGACGCUGAUGCGCGAAAGCGUGGGGAGCAAACGGG
rnacentral:rRNA from 1 species